ACAUGCAAGUCGGACGGUAGCACAGAGGAGCUUGCUCCUUGGGUGACGAGUGGCGGACGGGUGAGUAAUGUCUGGGGAUCUGCCCGAUAGAGGGGGAUAACCACUGGAAACGGUGGCUAAUACCGCAUAACGUCGCAAGACCAAAGAGGGGGACCUUCGGGCCUCUCACUAUCGGAUGAACCCAGAUGGGAUUAGCUAGUAGGCGGGGUAAUGGCCCACCUAGGCGACGAUCCCUAGCUGGUCUGAGAGGAUGACCAGCCACACUGGAACUGAGACACGGUCCAGACUCCUACGGGAGGCAGCAGUGGGGAAUAUUGCACAAUGGGCGCAAGCCUGAUGCAGCCAUGCCGCGUGUAUGAAGAAGGCCUUCGGGUUGUAAAGUACUUUCAGCGGGGAGGAAGGCGAUGGGGUUAAUAACCGCGUCGAUUGACGUUACCCGCAGAAGAAGCACCGGCUAACUCCGUGCCAGCAGCCGCGGUAAUACGGAGGGUGCAAGCGUUAAUCGGAAUUACUGGGCGUAAAGCGCACGCAGGCGGUCUGUUAAGUCAGAUGUGAAAUCCCCGGGCUUAACCUGGGAACUGCAUUUGAAACUGGCAGGCUGAGU
rnacentral:rRNA from 2 species